rnacentral:lncRNA from 1 species
GCAGCUUCACCAUCAUUUUGCAAGGCUGAAGCAAGACGAUCACUUGAGCUCCGGAGUUCAAGACCAGCCUGGGCAAUACAGUGAGGCUCCCAUCUCUACAGAAAAAAAAAAAGAAAAGAAAAAUUAGCUGGUGUGGUGGUACGCACCUGUGUUCUCAGCUACUUGGGAGGCUGAGGUAGGAGGAUCGCUUAAGCCCAGGAAGUUGAGGCUGCAGUAAGCCGUUUGUGCCACUGUGGCAAGCCAGAUCUCACAAAAACUGAACAGGCAGGCCUCCAUAAGAACUGUUCUAGCAUUGACUAAAUGGUUAGGUUAAAUAUUAAAGGCUGAGAGAGCCAGCGCCCUAACACAAAGGCUGAUGAUUUGAAGCAUGACAAAAUAAUGAAGGAAUGGUCACACUCCUCAUACCAGGAUCCAUUUAGGAUUAAACAAGUUUUAUUGGGGGUCUAAAGGAACUCUCCAGACCUCCAUAACUUAGUAGGAGACAAGAUAAGGUAAUUACCUUUGGCACUUGGACCCAUCUAGAGUAAGUAAAAUCACUGAGGCUCCAGAGGAAUGUCCCCAAGGUCUAUAACUCAGACCUUAGUUAUAGAUUAGAAGAAAUUAAUCACUUGUGUCUUUAGAUGAAUGCACACUAACAUGUAGACAUAUAGCUUAGAAGGUAGAUAAGCACUGGAAAACUUUGUAAUUUUGAGUUGGUCUGGCAAUAUUUUUCUGGCCCUCUCCCUGUACCCGGUUACAGAAAUAAAACUCUCUUCUUUCACAGUUCAUCAGCAUCUUGUUAUAGGGCUGCGAGAAUAAGCAGCCUGACCUUCAGUUCAGUCCAGGAACACCACUGCACACCAGCUUGGGUGACAGAGUGAGACCUUGUCUCUUAAAAAAAAAAGUCCUCAGAGAGAGGCCACAUGUAUUUUGUCCUCAGUUGUCACAAGGAAGAUGCAAUACAUUUAUUUUUCUCCUGGAUUAGUACUGCAGAAAAGCCUUUUAUCCUUUUUCUUUUUUGGCUAUGGAUGUCCAGUUGCUCCAGCACUGUUUGUUGAAAAGGUUAUACUUCCUCCGUGGAAAUUUAUUAUUAUUAUAAUGCACAGAUUUUAGGUCAGAAAAAUUGGGGGAGGUGCCCAAGGUCACUCAGGGAGUAAGUAGCUAAGAUUGGGUUAGAACCCACUUUGUUGUGUGAUUCCUUGCUUGGAUUACUAUGCACAACAGAAUAUGGCCCACCUCCCCACAGUUGAUCUCAUUCAAGUGAUAAUGGGUGAUCCUGAAACAGAAGGAAUCUGGCAGAAGCACGGAUAUGGCUGGGGAUAACAGGAGAGGGAGCUGCUGGAGUAACUCUGUGGGCGGCAAGCCACCCAGGUGCCAAGGCAAGAGACCGAGGACACGAGCUGUUCCAGUAUAAUAAAAUAUAAAACAAGAAUAGUUAUACCAGAUAUAGAUCUUAGAUAUGAUUAUAUAUGAAUAUCAUUAAUCAUUAGUUGGUAGCAAUUACUCUUUAUUCCAAAUUAUAAUAAUCCUCACUCUAUAAUCAUAACCUGGGAAAAGCCAGGCCAUAUAGAGAUAGGAGCUGAGGAGACAUAGUGAGAAGUGACCAGAAGACAAGAGUGCGAGCCUUCUGUUAUGCCCAGACAGGGCCACCAGAGGGCUCCUUGGUCUAGCGGUGAUGCCAGCAUCUGGGAAGAUGCCCGUUGCCAAGCGGACCGUGGUCUAGCAGUAGUGUUAGUGUCAAGGAAAAACACCUGCUACGUAGCGGACCGGGAAAGGGAGUCUCCCUUUCCCCGGGGGAGUUUAGAGAAGACUCUACUCCUCCACCACUUGUGGAGGGCCUCAGGCCCACCUGCAGUUAUCCGGAGGCCUAACCGUCUCCCUGUGAUGCUGUGCUUCAGUGGUCACGCUCCUAGUCCACCUUCAUGUUCCAUCCUGUACACCUGGCUCUGCCGUUUAGUUAGCAGUAGCAAACCAGUGAAAGUACUAAGUCUCUAAUAAGUAGAAAUAAUGGUGUAAGCUCUCUCUCUCUUUCUCCUCUCUCUCUCUGCCUCGGCUGCCAGGCAGGAAAGGGCCCCCUGUCCAGUGGACAUGUGACCCAUGUGGCCUUACCUAUCAUUGGAGAUGGCUCACACUCCUUAUCCUGCCCCUUUGUCUUGUAUCCAAUAAAUAUCAGCGCAGCCUGGCAUUCGGGGCCACUACCAGUCUCCGCGUCUUGGUGGUAGUGGUCCCCUGGGCCCAGCUGUCUUUUCUUUUAUCUCUGUCUUGCGUCUUUAUUUCUACAAUCUCUCGUCUCCGCACACGGGGAGAAACCAACCGACCCUGUGGGGCUGGACCCUACAAACUCUGCAUGUGCUUUGGCACAGGAAUGUGUACUGGGAAGUGGCUGACAAAAGACCUAUGGAUUCCAUGGAAUGGAGAGGCUAGCUCAGAGCAUUCUCAUACUCUUAAAAGGAAGAAACUGGAAGCCACCCUCUAAGACGACCCUGAAUGAUCCCUGCCUCCUAGUACUUAUACUCUUGUGUAGCCUCCACCUACUUAGACUCACAGCUGAUUUUGUGACCAAGAGUAUAAUGGUGUAUGACUUCAGAGGCUUGGUUCAGAGUCAGAAGUGGCCAUUUCAUCAUCCUCUAAAUUUCUCUUUGGCAGAUUAAUGAAUGUGAGAAAGUAAAAAUGGUAUAGAAGAAAGUUAGCCUGAGAGAUGGCUGGCUUUGUACCUGUUUGGUCUUUUUCCUUCCUUUCCUCCAUAAGCAAAUACUGACGCAUGUACAUAUAGACACACUCAACACAGUGGGAUGUUAAAGGGAAACUAGAGCCACUCGCCCCUUCCCAAGAUCAGAGAACAUAGGAAAGAUGAUGACUUUUUGCAUCUACCCUCUCCUCUUGAACUCGCAACACUGUCUUGAACCACAAAUAAGGUCAAGUAGGAUAAAUCUACAACUGUCUCCUCAACUGUCCGCUCACAAGUGUGAAAUUCAACCAUCCUUGCUGAAGUUGUCUUUUAAUAUCAGUAAUCAGCAAUAACCAACCUCUGAGCUUUGCUUAUAUUAUUAAAUCAUUUUAUUUGACCCUCAGGACAAAGCUGCAAGCCCAGCAUUACAUUCUUCCUUUUAUGGACAAAAAAAAAAAAACAAAACAAAACCGAGAUAGGCACGAAGAAACUAAUAAAUGGCUGAAAUGCUAUUUGAAUCCACAUCUGUCUAAUUCUAAAAGUGUGCUUUCCACCACAUCACCGCACCUACAAGGAAAAUGCAGCCUCUACCCUCUCCUGAAGAAUGUGUAAAGAGGCAAUAUGGUGUGUUUUGGAAAAAGCAUCUUUGCAGAAAGAAAGCAUUAGCUUCAGUCAUAUUAGCAUCCUUAUCCAGCAGCAGUAGCAUUAUUUUACAUAUCAGUUACUCCUCCCCAACAACUCAAUGAAUUAGAUGCCACAAUCAUCCUCACUUUCAAAUGUGGAGACCGAGGCACAUCUCUAAGACUGGAGUUCAGGCAUUCUGGCUCCAGUCUUAGAGAUGGUUAAGGGUUCACACUCUUAACCAUUUAUUACACCAUAGAG